CCUACGGGUGGCAGCAGUGGGGGAUAUUGCACAAUGGGGGGAACCCUGAUGCAGCGACGCCGCGUGGGUGAAGAAGCGCCUCGGCGCGUAAAGCCCUGUUAGCCGGGAAGAAAAUGACGGUACCUGAAGAAGAAGCGCCGGGUAACUACGUGCCAGCAGCCGCGGUAUUACGGAGGGGGCAAGCGUUAUCCGGAUUUACUGGGUGUAAAGGGGGCGCAGACGGCGAUGCAAGCCAGGAGUGAAAGCGCGGGGCCCAACCCCGGGACUGCUCUUGGAACUGCGUGGCUGGAGUGCAGGAGGGGCAGGCGGAAUUCCUGGUGUAGCGGUGAAAUGCGUAGAUAUCAGGAGGAACACCGGUGGCGAAGGCGGCCUACUGGACUGCAACUGACGUUGAGGCCCGAAAGCGUGGGGAGCGAACAGGAUUAGAUACCCCAGUAGUC
rnacentral:rRNA from 1 species